GCCACAUUACAAGAGCCAGUCGGGUGCGGCGCCAGCGCGACUCCGUGUCGUCGACUCCCGCAGCAGGAGGGCCGGGUGCCUCCCCCCCCCCCCCCCCAGAACCCCACCCGCCCAGUGAUGACCGCAGCGAGGCACUGGCUUCCCAAGCGGCUGCGGGCCUGCGCGCAUCCUUUGCUGUUUUAGCCGAACGGAGAGAAAAGGUCCGGAGGUGAUGGAUCGCAUCAAGGCGCGGGCAUCGCACCGGUUGAUCUUCAGACCCCAGGCGUUCGGCCAACCAGCAGUGGCAUCGCCACAGUGGAACAACGCGCCUCAGAGCAACGACGUCGAGAUGAGGGACUUGGAAGGCAGUCGCGAGGACGCCGUUAUGGCGUCCGUAAGUGACAGCGACGUCGAGAUGGAGGACGUCUCGGCUCAGCCGGUGCAACUCAACAGCAACAACAAAGUGGCAGUGGCGUCAGCGUCUCCGUGGUGUCGCCUGUGCGCCAUCCUGGCGACGAGCAGGAACGAGACGCACGGUGCUGGUCCUCCCGGCGUCCUCCAUAACGGCUCGACGACCGGCACGAAUGUGGCCACUAUGGGACGGCGCCUAGGUGGCCGCGGUGCGCGUUGAGACCGCACGUCUUCGGCGGUCGCGGCGUCGCUAAGAUCCACAGUCGAGUUCAAAAAUUGCGAUUAAGCACGGCGCGCCAUCCCAAAGGCUAAAUUUCAAUACAACCACGCUAUGAACCUAAAUAUGUGCACUGUA